GGGGAUAUGGCGAAAUUGGUAGACGUACGGACUUAAUUGGAUUGAGCCUUGGUMUGGAAACCCACUAAGUGAUAACUUUCAAAUUCAGAGAAACCCCGGAAUUAAUAAAAAGGGGCAAUCCUGAGCCAAAUCCUGUUUUCCGAAACCAAAGGUUCAGAAAGUGAAAAAAAGGAUAGGUGCAGAGACUCAACGGAAGCUGUUCUAACAAAUGGAGUUGGCUGCGUUAGUAGAAAAAUCUUUCCAUCGAAAAUUAAGAAAGGAUAAAGUGAAGGAUAAACGUAUAUACAUACGUAUUGAAUACUAUAUCAAAUGAUUAAUGACAACCCGACUGAAUCUGUAUUUUUUAUAUGAAAAAGGAAGAAUUGGUGUAAAUAGAUUCCACAUUGAAGAAAGAAUCGUAUAUUCAUUGAUCAAAUGAUUAACUCCAUAGUCUGAUAGAUCUUUUCAAGAACUGAUUAAUCGGACGAGAAUAAAGAUAGAGUCCCGUUCUACAUGUCAAUGUUGGCAACAAUGAAAUUUAUAGUAAGAGGAAAAUCCGUCGACUUUAAAAAUCGUGAGGGUUCAAGUCCCUCUAUCCCCAA
rnacentral:ncRNA from 1 species